rnacentral:rRNA from 1 species
CCUACGGGAGGCAGCAGUGGGGAAUAUUGCACAAUGGGGGAAACCCUGAUGCAGCGACGCCGCGUGAAGGAAGAAGUAUUUCGGUAUGUAAACCUCUAUCAGCAGGGAAGAAAAUGACGGUACCUGACUAAGAAGCCCUGGCUAACUACGUGCCAGCAGCCGCGGUAAUAUGUAGGGGGCAAGCGUUAUCCGGAUUUACUGGGUGUAAAGGGAGCGUAGGCGGUGUUGCAAGUCCGAAGUGAAAGUCCGCAGCUCAACUGCGGGACUGCUUUGGAAACUGUAGGACUAGAUUGCGGGGGAGGUAAGUGGAAUUCCUAGUGUAGCGGUGAAAUGCGUAGAUAUUAGGAGGAACACCGGUGGCGAAGGCAGCUUACUGGACUGUAAAUGACGCUGAGGCUCGAAAGCGUGGGGAGCAAACAGGAUUAGAUACCCGUGUAGUC